AUGAAGCUUCCCGGAGGCGCGACGCGCGCUUGGCUGAUCGAUUUCCUGCGCCGUCUGUUCUCUGCCCUGCGCCAGAGAGCGUUCUGGGCGGUGACGGCGGGGGGAAACAAAGAAGCCAAGAAACGGCGGCGCCGACGACGCAACCGCGCCGCCGCCGAAGCAGUCCUCAUCCACCCCGAGCCUAUCGCCACAGAGGACCUAAUGACGCCACUCGGCACCCUCGCAGCCACCGACGUGGCGCUCCUCCCUCCCGCGCCUCUCGCCGCCGAGGCCGAGGGCCUCACGCCGACACGCGGCGCCCUCUCCCCCACCAGCACCAUCGUGCUCGACGGGGCGCCGCUCUCGUCCGAGGACCCUACCCCACCGGACGGCUUCCUCCGGGCCACCAGUGACGCCACCCUCCACUCGGCGGCUGCCGUCCCCACGGGCCCCGCGUCGUCGGUCCCAGCCACCGGCGGGAAGCUGGAAGAUGACGGUGGAUUUACCCUAGUCGUGGGCAGGAAGAGGAAGCGGGGGAAUGCCCAGGCCACCCUCGGCCCUGUUGCCCCGCCACCUGCUCCGCGCCAUGGUCCGCCGAGGGGCUGGUUUCGGCACCAUGCUCGCCCCGCUCCUCCUCCUCCGAGCCGCCGUAUUCCGCCCGCAAUCCGGGUGAGCCCUCCUGCCACGGCCAGCGGGCCAGCCUCGUCUCCUGCACCUGCUGCCACGGCCAGCGGCCCUGCUGCGUCCCCUUCUUCCAUCAUCCCUCAGGAACUGGACGACAUGGCAAAGGAGCGAUCCCUUCACUUACAGUUCCGGGAGGAGAUGUCAAAGCUGAAAGGCAACAAGUUAUAUUGUCUGAUAUGUUAUUUGGAGCGUCGCCAAAAACUAGUGACUAUGCAGAAUCAUAAGGCUGACAUCAACCAUCACAAUAGUGCAUCUCACAAGGGGCGUCUUGUGGAUUGUCCAAGUAAGGGCUGCCUUUUGGUGGCAAGUAACAGACACGACAUUGGCAUUCAUGCCAUUUGUUGCCACCCUCACACACUGGCGGCGCUGAGGGUAUUCAUGUGUAUUCGUAUGAAUCCCAUUAUUGAGUGCAAAAAAAAAAUCAAUACAUAG
rnacentral:rRNA from 1 species